GACGAACGCUGGCGGCGUACUUAACACAUGCAAGUCGAACGGAAAGGCCCUGCUUUUGUGGGGUGCUCGAGUGGCGAACGGGUGAGUAACACGUGAGUAACCUGCCCUUGACUUUGGGAUAACUUCAAGAAACUGGGGCUAAUACCGGAUAGGAGCUCCUGCUGCAUGGUGGGGGUUGGAAAGUUUCGGCGGUUGGGGAUGGACUCGCGGCUUAUCAGCUUGUUGGUGGGGUAGUGGCUUACCAAGGCUUUGACGGGUAGCCGGCCUGAGAGGGUGACCGGCCACAUUGGGACUGAGAUACGGCCCAGACUCCUACGGGAGGCAGCAGUGGGGAAUAUUGCACAAUGGGCGGAAGCCUGAUGCAGCAACGCCGCGUGCGGGAUGACGGCCUUCGGGUUGUAAACCGCUUUCGCCUGUGACGAAGCGUGAGUGACGGUAAUGGGUAAAGAAGCACCGGCUAACUACGUG
rnacentral:rRNA from 1 species